UGAGGAAUCUUGCGCAAUGGGGGAAACCCUGACGCAGCAACGCCGCGUGAGUGAGGAAGGCCUUCGGGUCGUAAAGCUCUGUCGGGUGGAAAGAAACGUAUGAAUGUUAAUAGCAUUUGUACUUGACGGUACUGCCAAAGGAAGCACCGGCUAACUCCGUGCCAGCAGCCGCGGUAAUACGGGGGGUGCAAGCGUUGUUCGGAAUCAUUGGGCGUAAAGAGCGUGUAGGCGGCUGAAUAAGUCAGAGGUGAAAUCCCUGGGCUCAACCCAGGAAGUGCAUUGUAAACUGUGCGGCUAGAGUAGGGGAGAGGGAAGUGGAAUUCCUGGUGUAGAGGUGAAAUUCGUAGAUAUCAGGAGGAACACCGGUGGCGAAGGCGACUUCCUGGCCCUAUACUGACGCUGAGACGCGAGAGCGUGGGGAGCAAACA
rnacentral:rRNA from 1 species